GCCUGGGUGGCUCAGUCGGUUGAGCAUCCGACUUCGGCUCAGGUCAUGAUCUCGCGGUCUGUGGGUUCGAGCCCCGUGUCAGGCU
rfam:Felis catus breed Abyssinian Contig172234.1, whole genome shotgun sequence. [26-MAY-2016]